rnacentral:rRNA from 1 species
AUUAAAGCGGUACGCGAGCUGGGUUCAGAACGUCGUGAGACAGUUCGGUCCCUAUCCGGCGUGGGCGUAGGAUAUCUGAGAGGAGCUGUCCUUAGUACGAGAGGACCGGGAUGGACUGACCGCUGGUGUACCGGUUGCACUGCCAAGUGCACGGCCGGGUAGCCAAGUCGGGAAGGGAUAAACGCUGAAGGCAUCUAAGCGUGAAGCCCCCCUCAAGAUGAGAUAUCCCAUUCUUAGGAAGUAAACCCCCUUGAAGACGACGAGGUAGAUAGGGCAGAGGUGGAAGUACAGCAAUGUAUGGAGCUGACUGCUACUAAUCGGGUGAGGGCUUGACCAA